CUACGGGAUGCACCAGUAGGGAAUCUUAGACAAUGGGGGAAACCCUGAUCUAGCCAUGCCGCGUGAGUGAUGAAGGCCUUAGGGUUGUAAAGCUCUUUCGCUGGGGAAGAUAAUGACGGUACCCAGUAAAGAAACCCCGGCUAACUCCGUGCCAGCAGCCGCGGUAAUACGGAGGGGGUUAGCGUUGUUCGGAAUUACUGGGCGUAAAGCGCGCGUAGGCGGGCUAUUAAGUCAGGGGUGAAAUCCCGGGGCUCAACCCCGGAACUGCCUUUGAUACUGGUAGUCUUGAAUUCGAGAGAGGUGAGUGGAAUUCCGAGUGUAGAGGUGAAAUUCGUAGAUAUUCGGAGGAACAUCAGUGGCGAAGGCGACUCACUGGCUCGAUACUGACGCUGAGGUGCGAAAGUGUGGGGAGCAAACAGGAUUAGAUACCCGCGUAGUC
rnacentral:rRNA from 1 species